GCGACUUAAAUGGUUUAAGGUAUUACGACCAAGACUAUAUUUUAUUGGUAAUAGGAACGAAAUGCGAAGUGUGCGGCGGUUCAUACUUUUGUGGCGCAGUCGAUUGAAUUGCAGUCGUGAAAUGUGUAAAAUAAACCAAACAACUUUUUUCAAAUUAAUACAAUUAAUAACUGUUCUUUUGUAAGUAAACAAACUUGAAAAUAUUGACAAAUUACCAAUAUGGUCAAGUCUUAAUACCUUUCAACUUACUGUUGCAAUCCCGAGGGCUUAAAGGCAUUUUCAGUUAAGAAAUCAAAGUUAUUUCCUGAGCGGCAAUGAGAGCAGUCAUUGAUUAAGCCAUCAAUCAUAUUAACUUUGACUGGAUGACAAGAUGCAAAGAUGCCGGCUUUGUACAUUUCUAUAUUGCACAUAUGCAAAAGAAUCUUCUCUUUGGUAAGAGAGCAAAAGCAAAUCCUUAAAACGGGCCAAAUGUCAACAGGAAUAAAACGGAAGUCGCAUUCGAUGGCAAGAGACAUUUGAUGGCCAUCGGAUCAUUUUUCACUUCAUUCAUUCAUUCCGGAAAACGUAAUUUAUGAUGGGAAAUUCCUAAGACGGAUCAGCAGGCGAUAAAUUUACAGUUUGCGAAACGUUAUUAAUUGCUAAUUACCUCCGAACAUGAUUAAUGCCCUUCUAGCCGCCGCGUUCAUCUGCAUUUCAGUAUGCUCAUUGAUGUGCCAUUUACACAUAGAGGUAAAAUAACAUAGUAUUAAUUACUGGAGACGGAAGUUUCUAAAUAUGGCAUGCAUUUUGUUUUACAUACUGGGAAAACCGCAGAUCGAUUUCUAAAUGAUUCUAUAUUGAGAUAUUCUUGUAACUAUUUAUUUUUAUUUAUUAAUAAUUCUAAAAAGAUGAAGAAAAUAAAUAUACAUUUUCCUCAAUGUGGAUGAAAGCCGUCCG
ensembl:ncRNA lncRNA:CR43489 long non-coding RNA:CR43489